rnacentral:rRNA from 1 species
AGCUCCAAUAGCGUAUAUUAAAGUUGUUGCAGUUAAAAAGCUCGUAGUUGAAAUUCUGAUUGUUCGGGUUUUUAGCCUUUAGGCGGAAAUACCGACAGUCAUCCGCUUGCAAACAUACGUUUGACCUUAACCAGUUGACUAUGUGAGUAAGCAUUUUACCUUGAGAAAAACAGAGUGUUCCAGGCAGGUUUGUCCGGAAUGCAUUAGCAUGGAAUAAUAGAACAUGACUGAAGUCUAUUUAUUGGUUAAAGGCUUUAGUAAUGAUUAAUAGGAACAGUCGGGGGCAUUCGUACUCAGCAGUCAGAGGUGAAAUUCUAAGAUUUGCUGAAGACGAACUAAUGCGAAAGCAUUUGCCAAGGAUGUUUUCA